UUCUUCAUGUGGCUGUAGCUUCCUUUCUCCAUGAACAGCUGCCCGAAGUGGAUCUUGCAGUACAAGACACCGUUGAGGGCCGCGUAGGAGGAGGUGGUCAGGAUGCAGCCUCCGUGGGAGCACUUGAAGCAGCUCUUGUGGCUGUGCACUUAUCCUGAGUACCAGAGAAGAUAGAAGAUAGCUUGCUUGGGGCCCUUGACUGUUGCAGGGACGACAUUCCAAUUUGCAUCACAAACAUUUAUCCAGUUAGCACAGCUGGCAUGCAUUAGAAACGUACGAAACAAGCAAUGCUAGCUAAAGAGGAUAAGCUUAAUUGGCUUUUUAUGAACAGUUUCAUGGUGCUGAGCUGUACCAGUUCACCCCUGUCGGACUUGGUACCUGCGUCACACACAGCAAGUCAUUCAGGAUGAGCCAGCGCUUUUCCACAGAGACAACAAGUUAAGAACAUUUUGAUAAAA